rnacentral:tRNA from 1 species
GUCGGGGUAGUUCAGCUGGUAGAAUGCCUGGCUCAUGACCAGGUGGUCGCGGGUUCGAGUCCCGCCCCCGACA